UUUUUUUAACUUUUAGGUGUUCUUGGUGCACGUGGGUUCAUAUUGUUGAUUUCCGUUUGUUUACCCUUGUUUUUAUUUUUUUUUCUAAUUUGAAUGUUAUCAAGAGAAAGUGCAUACUAUAUUGUAUGUACUAGUUGACGUGAGUCGUAUGUCUGUAAUGUAUUUUUACACAAUUUUAGCUGCUUUCUCCCAAUGCUUGUCACAUUAACCAGUAAUUGGGUUGCUCACCAAAUGUUAUCACUAAAACGUUACUGUAUACCACUGCCAUACAAGUGGGAGGUUAAGCUAGUUAUAAAACCAGGUUUCACCCACC
rnacentral:lncRNA from 1 species